GCCGGACUGGCGCAAUUGGACAGCGCAUCAGACUUCUAUGCAUUUUCUAUGCGGAUAAAUCUGGGGGUUGCGGGUUCGAAUCCCGCGUUCGGUU